ensembl:lncRNA
CCCCUCACACCACACCUCUCACCUGCCCCUCGAGUGCCCCUCAUCCUACCUCCCUUCCCACCCUCCAAGUACCCCCUCACCCCACAACCCCACACCCCCUAAGUGCCCCCUAACCCCACCCAUCCCAAGUUCCCCUAUAGGGCCGGUGACCCCCCUCCGUGUCCCCCCAGCCCCUCUGGCGCUGCUGCAGGCGGAGCUGGGGACGCUGCAGGAGGAGCUGGGCGCGCUGCACGCCGGCCACGAGGCGCAAUGGGGGCAGAUGGAGCGCGAUCUGGCCGCAGCCAGGGCUCAGGCGGCCACGGCCACAGCGAGAGCCGAGGAGCUGCAGGAUGAGCUGGCAGAGUGGAGGGAGCGCGUGGACUUGCUGGGCUCCGAGGUGGGGAGGGACAGGGAGGACAACUGGAGGGACGUGGCGGCUGAGGCCAGGGAACAGGCGGGGGCGGCCAAGGAGAAGGUGGCUGCCAUGGGGGAACAGAUGGACGCCAUCAGGAACGAGCUGGGUGCGAUGAAGGGGGAGCUGGCGGCGCUCAGGGAUGGGAUGGAACCGAUGAGGGACAGGACGGAACCAAUGAGGGAUGGGACAGAACCGAUGAGGGAUGAGAUGGACAAGCUGAAGGAUGAGCUGGUUGCAUUGAGGGACGAGGUGGCCGUGCUCAGGGACAGGACGGCCCCGAUGAUGGACGGGACGGCCCCAGUUAUGGAUGGGACGGCACCAAUGAUGGAUGGGAUGCCCCCAAUGAGGAAUGAGGUGGCCAUGCUGAGGGCCGAGGUGGAUGCGCUGAGGGACAAGCUGGCCGUGCUCACGAAUGGGAUGGCCCCGAUGAGGAACGAGGAGGCCCCACUGACGGAUGAGCUGGAUGUGCUGAAGGACGAGCUGGUUGCACUGAGGGAUGGGAUGAUCCCGAUGAGGGAUGAGCUGAACCCAAUGAGGGUCGAUGUGGCCACGCUGAAGGACGAGGUGGAUGCGCUCAAGUACGGGACGGCCCCGAUGAGGGAUGAGGUGGCUUCAUUGAGGGAUGAGCUGGUCGCGUUGAGGAAUGGGAUGGCCCCGAUGAGGGACGAGACGGCACCAAUGAGGGGCGAGGUGGCCCCACUGAGGGAUGAGCUGGUCGCACUGAGGGACGAGGUGGCCGCGCUGAGGGAUGAGCUGGCCCCACUGAAGGACGGGAUGGCCCCAGUGAUGGAUGGGACGGCCUCGAUGAUGGACGGGACGGCCCCAAUGAGGGAUAAGCUGACCGCGUUGUGGGACGAGCUGGCCGUGCUGAGGGAUGAGCUGACCGCACUGAGGGCUGAGGUGGCCACAAGGCACCAAGAGGAGGCCGCCAUGAGGAGGAAGGAGGAGGAUGAGGAGGAAGGACAGGAUGAAGGACGGCAGGAGGAGGAGGCUGCAGUCAGGAAGGAGAUGGCCGCGCUGAGGGCCGAGGUGUCUGCAAUGAGGAACGAGCUGGACUUGCUGAGGGACGGGAUGGCCGAGAGGCACCAAGAGGUGGCAGCCAUGGGGAGGAAGGAGCAGGAUGAGGAGGAAGGACGGGCAGAGGGUCAGACUGAAGGCCGGGAGGUGGAGAUGGCCGCCAUGAGAAAGGAGAUGUCCGCCAUGAGGGAUGCGAUGGCCGCCAUCAGGGACGAGCUGUCCACGUGGCAGCGGGAUGUGACCACGUGGCGGCAGGAGCUGUCCGAGGUGCUGAAGCACUUGUCUGGCCAAAGAAUGGAAGCAACCGCCGCCAACAGGAAAGAGCAGAGAGACGACGGGCAGAAAGAACGGAUGGACGGCCGGUGUCUUCGUGUCCCUGCUGCUCCUCACCACCGCGGCCGCCGUGGUGCUGUACCCACACCUGCAGCUGAGCUGAUGGCACCAUCGUGUCACCAUCGUGUCGCCAUCGAGUCACCGUCGUGUCACCAUCGUGUCACCAUCGUGACGCCAUCCAGUCACCAUCGGGUCACCAUCGAGCAACCUCCAUGUCAGCAUCGAGUCACCAUCGUGUCACCAUCGUGACACCAUCACGUCACCAUCGGGUCACCAUCAAGUCACCAUCAUGACACCAUCGAGUCACCAUUGUGUCACCAUUGUGUCACCAUUGUGUCACCAUUGUGUCACCAUCGUGUCGCCAUCCUGUCACCAUCGAGUCACCAUCAUGUCACCAUCGUGAUGCCAUCCUGUCACCAUUGUGUCACCAUUGUGUCAUCAUCGUGUCACCAUCAUGUCACCAUCGUGUCACCAUCGUGUCUCCUCCAUGUCCCCCUGCAGACAAUAUACAAUACACCAUCACUUUCUGCACUGGUGUCAGUCCCAACCCUGUCCCCAUGGGUUCCAUGUGGGGCUGUCACCCAUCGGUGUCCCCAUGUCCCUGUCCCCAUGGUAGUUCCCAUGUCCCCAUAGUGUCCCCAUAGUGUCCCCAUGGCGUCCCCAUGUCCCCAUAGUGUCCCCAUAGUGUCCCCAUGUCCCUUUACCCAUGGUAGUUCCCAUGUCCCCAUAGUGUCCCCAUGUCCCUUUACCCAUGGUAGUUCCCAUGUCCCCAUAGGGUCCCCAUGUCCCUGUCCCCAUGGUAGUUCCCAUGUCCCCAUGGCGUCCCCAUGUCCCCAUGGCGUCCCCAUGUCCCUGUCCCCAUGAGUGCCACCCAUGUCCCUACAGGUGUCCCAAUGUCCCCACUGAUGCCACCCAAGUCCCCAUUGAUGCCACCCAUGUCCCCACAUCCCUAUGGGUGUCCCAGUGUCUCCAUGUGUGUCCCAAUGUCCCUCUGAAUGUCACCCAUGUCCCCAUGGGUGUCCCCAUUUCUCUGUACCCCAUAAGUGCUGCUCACACCCCAUAGAUCCCCAUAUCACACCCCAUAGAUCCCAUAUCACCACUCACACCCCAUAGAUCCCCAUAUCCCCACUAACGCCCCAUAGAUCCCCAUAUCACACCCCAUAUCCCCAUAUCACACCCCAUAGAUCCCAUAUCACACCCCAUAUCCCCAUAUCACACCCCAUAGAUCCCAUAUCACACCCCAUAGAUC